CAAUAUACAUAAUCGACACCCAAAGGAUCACACGUUAAGCUUCUGAAUGCUUUUACCAGUGUUCACUCAAAUAUAUCACCGGUGACUUACGAAAUUGUAUACCAUAAAAAUAAAUUCAGAAUUCUGGAGUGUUUUGAA